GGGUUGCAAAAGAAGUAGGUAGCUUAACCUUCGGGAGGGCGCUUACCACUUUGUGAUUCAUGACUGGGGUGAAGUCGUAACAAGGUAACCGUAGGGGAACCUGCGGUUGGAUCACCUCCUUACCUAAGAGA
rnacentral:rRNA from 1 species